rnacentral:rRNA from 1 species
UCAGAUUGAACGCUGGCGGCAGGCCUAACACAUGCAAGUCGAACGGUAACAGAAAGCAGCUUGCUGCUUUGCUGACGAGUGGCGGACGGGUGAGUAAUGUCUGGGAAACUGCCUGAUGGAGGGGGAUAACUACUGGAAACGGUAGCUAAUACCGCAUAACGUCGCAAGACCAAAGAGGGGGACCUUCGGGCCUCUUGCCAUCGGAUGUGCCCAGAUGGGAUUAGCUAGUAGGUGGGGUAACGGCUCACCUAGGCGACGAUCCCUAGCUGGUCUGAGAGGAUGACCAGCCACACUGGAACUGAGACACGGUCCAGACUCCUACGGGAGGCAGCAGUGGGGAAUAUUGCACAAUGGGCGCAAGCCUGAUGCAGCCAUGCCGCGUGUAUGAAGAAGGCCUUCGGGUUGUAAAGUACUUUCAGCGGGGAGGAAGGGAGUAAAGUUAAUACCUUUGCUCAUUGACGUUACCCGCAGAAGAAGCACCGGCUAACUCCGUGCCAGCAGCCGCGGUAAUACGGAGGGUGCAAGCGUUAAUCGGAAUUACUGGGCGUAAAGCGCACGCAGGCGGUUUGUUAAGUCAGAUGUGAAAUCCCCGGGCUCAACCUGGGAACUGCAUCUGAUACUGGCAAGCUUGAGUCUCGUAGAGGGGGGUAGAAUUCCAGGUGUAGCGGUGAAAUGCGUAGAGAUCUGGAGGAAUACCGGUGGCGAAGGCGGCCCCCUGGACGAAGACUGACGCUCAGGUGCGAAAGCGUGGGGAGCAAACAGGAUUAGAUACCCUGGUAGUCCACGCCGUAAACGAUGUCGACUUGGAGGUUGUGCCCUUGAGGCGUGGCUUCCGGAGCUAACGCGUUAAGUCGACCGCCUGGGGAGUACGGCCGCAAGGUUAAAACUCAAAUGAAUUGACGGGGGCCCGCACAAGCGGUGGAGCAUGUGGUUUAAUUCGAUGCAACGCGAAGAACCUUACCUGGUCUUGACAUCCACGGAAGUUUUCAGAGAUGAGAAUGUGCCUUCGGGAACCGUGAGACAGGUGCUGCAUGGCUGUCGUCAGCUCGUGUUGUGAAAUGUUGGGUUAAGUCCCGCAACGAGCGCAACCCUUAUUGUUAGUUGCUACCAUUUAGUUGAGCACUCUAGCGAGACUGCCCGGGUUAACCGGGAGGAAGGUGGGGAUGACGUCAAAUCAUCAUGCCCCUUAUGUCUAGGGCUACACACGUGCUACAAUGGCAAGUACAAAGAGAAGCAAGUCCGCGAGGUGGAGCAAAACUCAAAAACUUGUCUCAGUUCUGGAUUGUAGGCUGAAACUCGCCUACAUGAAGCUGGAGUUGCUAGUAAUCGCGAAUCAGCAUGUCGCGGUGAAUACGUUCCCGGUCCUUGCACUCACCGCCCGUCA